GCCCGCGUAGCUCAAUUGGAUAGAGCGUCAGACUCUUAAAUACGCGGGCGAUCUGAAGGCUGCGAGUUCGACCCUCGCCGUGGGCU
rnacentral:tRNA from 1 species